rnacentral:rRNA from 1 species
GACGUAGGGAGCGAGCGUUGUCCGGAUUCAUUGGGCGUAAAGCGCGCGUAGGCGGCCUCGCAAGUCGGUUGUGAAAUCCCGGGGCUCAACCCCGGGACUGCGUCCGAUACUGCGAGGCUGGAGGUAGGUAGGGGAGAUCGGAAUUCCUGGUGUAGCGGUGAAAUGCGCAGAUAUCAGGAGGAACACCGGUGGCGAAGGCGGGUCUCUGGGCCGAUACUGACGCUGAGGAGCGAAAGCGUGGGGAGCGAACAGG